AUUGAACGCUGGCGGCAGGCCUAACACAUGCAAGUCGAGCGAGCGGCGGACGGGUGAGUAAUGUCUGGGAAACUGCCUGAUGGAGGGGGAUAACUACUGGAAACGGUAGCUAAUACCGCAUACCAUCAGAUGUGCCCAGAUGGGAUUAGCUAGUAGGGGGGGUAACGGCUCACGUAGGCGACGAUCCCUAGCGGGUCUGAGAGGAUGACCAGCCACACUGGAACUGAGACACGGUCCAGACUCCUACGGGAGGAAGCAGUGGGGAAUAUGGCACAAGGGGCGAAAGCCUGAUGCAGCCAUGCCGCGGGUGUGAAGAAGGUCUUCGGGUUGGAAAGUACUUUCAGCGGGGAGGCGUUACCCGCAGAAGAAGCACCGGCUAACUCCGUGCCAGCAGCCGCGGUAAUUC
rnacentral:rRNA from 1 species